CUGCAAUGUGUGCACGUGCGUGCACACGUGGCCUAGGGGAUGCCAAAUUCCAGGGUCCAGAAAGAGCUUGGGAUAAAAUGAACAUCCAAGGGGAGGGCUUUGACCUGGGCUGAGUCUGCCUGUGCCGAGUCUGCCUGUGCCAUCCAACUGGAGUCUCAAGUCCUGAGGCAGGACGUCCAGAUGCCCCAGUGCAGGGUCCUCCUGAUCAACACCUGCUCCCCUGUACUCAUUAGCAACCUCACCCACCCUACUCUCAAAGCACACUUGGCUCUCAUAUCCAGGAGCUCUGCAUCUGUAGAUUCAGCAACAGCAGAUGGAAAAUAUUCAGAAAAUAAAUUGGACAGUUAUAUUUCUAUUGAA
rnacentral:lncRNA from 1 species